rnacentral:rRNA from 1 species
UCGGGAUAACAACCUGGAAACAAGAUGCUAAUACCGGAUAACAACAGAUGAUGCCUAUCAACUGUUUAAAAGAUGGUUCUGCUAUCACUCUUGGAUGGACCUGCGGUGCAUUAGCUAGUUGGUAGGGUAACGGCCUACCAAGGCGAUGAUGCAUAGCCGAGUUGAGAGACUGAUCGGCCACAUUGGGACUGAGACACGGCCCAAACUCCUACGGGAGGCAGCAGGC